UAAGGAUGAGCAUGAGGUCUGUGGGGGUAGAGUACAGGACCAGGGUGGUCUGUGGGGGUAGAGUUCAGGACCAGGGAGGUCUGCGGUGGUAGAGUACAGGACCAGGGAGGUCUGCGGUGGUAGAGUACAGGACCAGGGAGGUCUGCGGUGGUAGAGUACAGGACCAGGGAGGUAUGUGGGGGUAGAGUACAGGACCAGGGAGGUAUGCGGGGGUAGAGUACAGGACCAGGGAGGUAUGUGGGGGUAGAGUACAGGACCAGGGAGGUCUGCGGUGGUAGAGUACAGGACCAGGGAGGUAUGUGGGGGUAGAGUACAGGACCAGGGAGGUCUGCGGUGGUAGAGUACAGGACCAGGGAGGUAUGUGGGGGUAGAGUACAGGACCAGGGAGGUCUGCGGUGGUAGAGUACAGGACCAGGGAGGUAUGUGGGGGUAGAGUACAGGACCAGGGAGGUCUGCGGUGGUAGAGUACAGGACCAGGGAGGUCUGCGGUGGUAGAGUACAGGACCAGGGAGGUAUGUGGGGGUAGAGUACAGGACCAGGGAGGUAUGUGGGGGUAGAGUACAGGACCAGGGAGGUCUGCGGUGGUAGAGUACAGGACCAGGGAGGUGAACUAACAAAGCAGGACGACGGGCUCAUUGUAACACAACAGAGAACAACACAACAAGGCUACACAAUAGUUGUGUUGUUGUCUUGUAUGCAGCCGAUUGCUGUCGUUUCUGUUGUUGUUGCGUUCCGUCCCUCUCUGACCAUAAGGAGGGUAAACACUGUGACAGAUCCAGGCCAUCUUAUUCAAAUCGGCAGAUAAAGGUCCCUUUUUUCCCAGCUGCCCGCUCUCUGUCGCCAUGGCCACCAACCACUAACCACAACCUCCUGGGUCACGUGACACACUCGCAGGGUUGUAGUGCUGCCGGAGCGCAGAGGACCGGCACCUCCUCACAUUUUUCCAUUUGAGAAUAAACGGAGCUGGUGAAACUAUUUCUGGACCAUUUAUGCUGAUAAUCUUUAAAUAAGUUAUAUUUAAUUACCACAAAAAUGUCAUGGAAAACUAUAGAAUGACAAACCAAAUAAAUAUGUAUAGCAGCCUAGAGGUACAUGGUGGUUUCUUCCCUGUCUUCUCUCUGGCGGUGGCGAGAAUAAUGAAGAACUAUGUGUGUGCAGUACAGAGGUCCGCCGGAGGCUUGACCACUUUGGCCAAUCAGAACAAAACAAAAAAAUUUACUGUGUGUCUGCCUUGAUGUUCAUAAAAUUCCAUGGAACCCGUCUUGCGCAGUGGAACCCAGAAUGAUAUGUGACGUCUUGG